ACUUCACACUAAAGGAGAGAAGGUUUGCAUUCCCCUUUGAGAAGGAUGGAAAAGGUCUUAGUGACCCUUACAACACAUGUAUGGUUAAGGCAUUGCCAAUAACUUUAUGGCAUCCAACCAUGGUCUAGU